rnacentral:rRNA from 1 species
UACGGGGGGGGCAAGCGUUGUUCGGAAUUACUGGGCGUAAAGGGCUCGUAGGCGGCCAACUAAGUCGGAUGUGAAAUCCCCAGGCUUAACCUGGGAAUUGCAUCCGAUACUGGAUGGCUUGAAUCCGGGAGAGGGAUGCGGAAUUCCAGGUGUAGCGGUGAAAUGCGUAGAUAUCUGGAGGAACACCGGUGGCGAAGGCGGCAUCCUGGACCGACACUGACACUGAGGAGCGAAAGCCAGGGGAGCAAACGGG